rnacentral:rRNA from 1 species
GACGAACGCUGGCGGCGUGCUUAACACAUGCAAGUCGAACGACGUGGCGAACGGGUGAGUAACGCGUAAUCAACCUGCCCUUCAGCGGGGUACACCAGUUGGAACCGACUUCUCAUACCCCAUACUGAAGGUGUGUAUAGCGUAGGAUUGGCUAGUUGGGGGGGGAACGGCCUCCCACGGCGAUGAUCAGUCGCCUGGCUGUGAGGAAGAACGGCCAAAUUGGGACUGGGACACGGCCCAGACUCCUACGGGAGGCAGCCAUGGGGAAUCUUCCGCAAUGGACGAAAGGCUGACGGAGCAACGCCGCGUGAGUGAUGACGGCCUUCGGGUUGUAAAGCUCUGUUAAUCGGGACGCGGUACCGGAAGAGAAAGCAACGGCUAACUACGUGCCAGCAGCCGCGGUAAUAC